CAUGCAAGUCGAACGAAGGCUUCGGCCUUAGUGGCGCACGGGUGCGUAACGCGUGGGAAUCUGCCCUUGGGUUCGGAAUAACAGUGAGAAAUUACUGCUAAUACCGGAUGAUGUCGAAAGACCAAAGAUUUAUCGCCCGAGGAUGAGCCCGCGUAGGAUUAGCUAGUUGGUGAGGUAAGAGCUCACCAAGGCGACGAUCCUUAGCUGGUCUGAGAGGAUGAUCAGCCACACUGGGACUGAGACACGGCCCAGACUCCUACGGGAGGCAGCAGUGGGGAAUAUUGGACAAUGGGCGCAAGCCUGAUCCAGCCAUGCCGCGUGGAUGAUGAAGGCCCUAGGGUUGUAAAGUCCUUUCGACGGGGAAGAUAAUGACGGUACCCGUAGAAGAAGCCCCGGCUAACUUCGUGCCAGCAGCCGCGGUAAUACGAAGGGGGCUAGCGUUGCUCGGAAUCACUGGGCGUAAAGCGCACGUAGGCGGGUUCUUAAGUCGGUGGUGAAAUCCUGGAGCUCAACUCCAGAACUGCCUCCGAUACUGAGGGCCUCGAGUCCGGGAGAGGUGAGUGGAACUGCGAGUGUAGAGGUGAAAUUCGUAGAUAUUCGCAAGAACACCAGUGGCGAAAGCGGCUCACUGGCCCGGUACUGACGCUGA
rnacentral:rRNA from 1 species